AACGAGCGCUGGCGGCAUGCCUAACGCAUGCAAGUCGAACGAGACCUUCGGGUCUAGUGGCGCACGGGUGCGUAACGCGUGGGAACCUGCCCUUAGGUUCGGAAUAACUCCCCGAAAGGGGUGCUAAUACCGGAUAAUGUCUUCGGACCAAAGAUUUAUCGCCUUUGGAUGGGCCCGCGUUGGAUUAGCUAGUUGGUAGGGUAAAAGCCUACCAAGGCGACGAUCCAUAGCUGGUCUGAGAGGAUGAUCAGCCACACUGGGACUGAGACACGGCCCAGACUCCUACGGGAGGCAGCAGUGGGGAAUAUUGGACAAUGGGCGAAAGCCUGAUCCAGCAAUGCCGCGUGAGUGAUGAAGGCCUUAGGGUUGUAAAGCUCUUUUACCCGGGAUGAUAAUGACAGUACCGGGAGAAUAAGCUCCGGCUAACUCCGUG
rnacentral:rRNA from 1 species